CACAACCUCACACCAAGGGACCCACAGUAAGAGAAGCCCUUCGAGUUCCCUGACUGUGGGAAGAGCUUUGGCUGCUGCUCCAACUCCAUCAGCCAUCAGAGGACCCCCAUUGGAUGAUCCACAGGGACCCACGUUGGGCACAGACCUGGUGACCCAUGGUCCAGGUGGUCCAUGCUGGGAACUCACCUGGUGACUCCUG